rnacentral:rRNA from 1 species
CAGGCCUAACACAUGCAAGUCGAGCGAAUGGAUUAAGAGCUUGCUCUUAUGAAGUUAGCGGCGGACGGGUGAGUAACACGUGGGUAACCUGCCCAUAAGACUGGGAUAACUCCGGGAAACCGGGGCUAAUACCGGAUAACAUUUUGAACCGCAUGGUUCGAAAUUGAAAGGCGGCUUCGGCUGUCACUUAUGGAUGGACCCGCGUCGCAUUAGCUAGUUGGUGAGGUAACGGCUCACCAAGGCAACGAUGCGUAGCCGACCUGAGAGGGUGAUCGGCCACACUGGGACUGAGACACGGCCCAGACUCCUACGGGAGGCAGCAGUAGGGAAUCUUCCGCAAUGGACGAAAGUCUGACGGAGCAACGCCGCGUGAGUGAUGAAGGCUUUCGGGUCGUAAAACUCUGUUGUUAGGGAAGAACAAGUGCUAGUUGAAUAAGCUGGCACCUUGACGGUACCUAACCAGAAAGCC